rnacentral:ncRNA from 2 species
GUAUUGAAGAGAGCGAGCGAGAGAGGAGCGGAGCGGCACAGCCUCCCACCCUCCCGGCUGGUGUUAGUGCCCGGACGGCGGGCUCUGCGCUCCGCCCCUCAAGUCCCCGGCAGCGGUUGGCGAGUGGGGACCGAACCCCCGGUUCUCCAUGAUCCCGCUGGCCGGGGCCGUUUCCCCAGAGCGGAGAGGUAUCUGCUGCGCCUGAGAUGAGUAAACUGUCGUUUCGGGCGCGGGCGCUAGACGCCUCGAAGCCGCUGCCGGUUUUCCGCUGUGAGGAUCUGCCCGACCUGCACGAAUACGCCUCGAUAAACAGGGCCGUGCCGCAGAUGCCCACCGGAAUGGAGAAGGAAGAGGAGUCGAUCCUUGACAGUAUAACUUGAUGACUUCUAAUCCUAAGGAAUUGCAUACCUUGGUUUUCAGGUACAGCCAUUUAAACAGGGUGCAGUGUAUUGACAGUUCAAGGAAGUCCAGGAGUCGCGUGGAUUUGUGUGCUACAAUUUUGUUGUGGAAAAUUGUACUGUAAUACUUCUCUUGGUACUGUAAGAAUUUUUAAUGUAGAAAUUAUGCUCUGUAAUGUUGUUUUUGGAAAUA